rnacentral:rRNA from 1 species
GACGAACGCUGGCGGCGUGCUUAACACAUGCAAGUCGAACGAAGAGCGAUGGAAGCUUGCUCCUAUCAAUCUUAGUGGCGAACGGGUGAGUAACGCGUAAUCAACCUGCCCUUCAGAGGGGGACAACAGUUGGAAACGACUGCUAAUACCGCAUACGAUCUAACCUCGGCAUCGAGGAAAGAUGAAAGGUGGCCUCUAUGUAUAAGCUAUCACUGAAGGAGGGGAUUGCGUCUGAUUAGCUAGUUGGAGGGGUAACGGCCCACCAAGGCGAUGAUCAGUAGCCGGUCUGAGAGGAUGAACGGCCACAUUGGGACUGAGACACGGCCCAGACUCCUACGGGAGGCAGCAGUGGGGAAUCUUCCGCAAUGGACGAAAGUCUGACGGAGCAACGCCGCGUGAGUGAUGACGGCCUUCGGGUUGUAAAGCUCUGUUAAUCGGGACGAAAGGCCUUCUUGCGAAUAGUGAGAAGGAUUGACGGUACCGGAAUAGAAAGCCACGGCUAACUACGUG